rnacentral:rRNA from 1 species
GAUGAACGCUGGCGGCGUGCCUAAUACAUGCAAGUCGAGCGAACGGACGAGAAGCUUGCUUCUCUGAUGUUAGCGGCGGACGGGUGAGUAAUACGUGGAUAACCUCCCUAUAAGACUGGGAUAACUUCGGGAAACCGGAGCUAAUACCGGAUAAUAUUUUGAACCGCAUGGUUCAAAAGUGAAAGACGGUCUUGCUGUCACUUAUAGAUGGAUCCGCGCUGCAUUAGCUAGUUGGUAAGGUAACGGCUUACCAAGGCAACGAUGCAUAGCCGACCUGAGAGGGUGGUCGGCCACACUGGAACUGAGACACGGUCCAGACGCCUACGGGAGGCAGCAGUAGGGAAUCUUCCGCAAUGGGCGAAAGACUGACGGAGCAACGACGCGUGAGUGAUGAAGGUCUUCGGAUCGUAAAACUCUGUUAUUAGGGAAGAACAUAUGUGUAAGUAACUGUGCACAGCUUGACGGUACCUAAUCAGAAAGCCACGGCUAACUACGUG